CGGGGUGUGGCGCAGUUGGUAGCGCGCCUGGUUUGGGACCAGGAGGCCGGGAGUUCAAGUCUCCCCUCCCCGA
rnacentral:tRNA from 1 species